UGGGGGAAUAUUGCACAAUGGGCGAAAGCCUGAUGCAGCGACGCCGCGUGAAUGAAGAAGUAUUUCGGUAUGUAAAGUUCUAUCAGCAGGGAAGAAGAAUGACGGUACCUGACUAAGAAGCACCGGCUAAAUACGUGCCAGCAGCCGCGGUAAUACGUAUGGUGCAAGCGUUAUCCGGAUUUACUGGGUGUAAAGGGAGCGUAGACGGCAAAGCAAGUCUGAAGUGAAAGCCCCGGGCUCAACCCGGGAACUGCUUUGGAAACUGUUUAGCUAGAGUGCAGGAGAGGUAAGUGGAAUUCCUAGUGUAGCGGUGAAAUGCGUAGAUAUUAGGAGGAACACCAGUGGCGAAGGCGGCUUACUGGACUGUAACUGACGUUG
rnacentral:rRNA from 1 species